rnacentral:lncRNA from 14 species
CAAUAACAAAGAAAGAAAAGCCUUCCUUUGGUGGCAUUUUGGCACUUCUGCUGCUGUGAAUCAUAAAGAGAAACUUGAUAUCCCAUUGGCAAGCAUCUUUUGGAUUCCGCAGAAGGACUGUAUUCAAACAGGAACAGAGAAUUAAGGAGGACUCAGAGAGGUGAAGAUGGAAGAAGGUUCAAUGUGGAAAAACAGAGCAUACAUGGACAGGAAAUGGCUACUGAAAAUGGAAAGUCAAUUCAAACAGCAAACAUAAUGCCUUAAGAAGAGAGUGCCAUGAACUGAAAUUUUGGAGUCAUAUGUCUGCUCGUAGUACCAGCAUCCUCAGCUUUGGGGAUAGCAACAGGAA